CCAAUAGCGUAUAUUAAAGUUGUUGCAGUUAAAAAGCUCGUAGUUGAAUUUCGGGAUCAAUGCGUCGGUCGUGCCUUCGGUACGUACUAGCGUCAUUGAUUCCUCCCUUCUGAAGAACCGUGAUGUCAUUAAUUUGGUGUUACGGGGAAUCAGGACUGUUACCUUGAAAAAAUUAGAGUGUUUAAAGCAGGCUAACGCUUGAAUACAUUAGCAUGGAAUAAUGAAAUAGGACGUUCGAACCUAUUUUGUUGGUUUCUAGGAUCGACGUAAUGAUUAAUAGGGAUAGUUGGGGGCAUUAGUAUUCAAUUGUCAGAGGUGAAAUGCUUGGAUUUAUUGAAGACUGACUACUGCGAAAGCAUUUGCCAAGGAUGUUUUCAUUAAUCAAGAACGAAAGUUAGGGGAUCGAAGACGAUCAGAUACCGUCGUAGUCUUAACCAUAAACUAUGCCGACUAGGGAUCGGAUGAUGUUAAUUUUAUAAUGACUCAUUCGGCGCCUUACG
rnacentral:rRNA from 1 species